UCAGAAGGAGGACAUGGAAGUAGUCAAAUCAUAGUUCCAACACAUCCAAUCGUUUUAAGAAUACCACCAAUAUUCCAGAGUCCAUGGAGGUAAGCCCCAAAGGGAAAGUCUGAAACAAGCCGACCCAUUUUUUUUUUAUAAAUAUAAUUAAAUAUUCUCAUAAAUAUCUAAUUAAACCAACCAAUAACAUAAUAAUUAAACCGUAAGUCAAAAAUACUAUUUUAUGAAUAAAUAAAUAAUUCGACCAACAAAACCAAAAAUAACUGAUAAUCCUAACCGGGUUCCAAUAACCAAAAACACCAAAAAUAAAACAAACGAGUUCCUAAAUCAUCCUCUCUUCCUUGCCAUGAUUCCACGAUCACACUUUAUCUUUACCUGCAUCAACAACACAAUGAGAUGCGUAAAUAUUAUCAUAAAUACUUAGUGAGGCGAUCCUCCCAUCUACGAGCUAUACACACAAGCAAAUACAAAGGUAUAAUCACGAAUACAAUACAAACAAACCAGUCAUUGAACAAUUCACCCAAAACACAUUCACCACACCUACAUAUCAUCACACAAAACAAAUCACACAACCCAAUCGCUCAGAUAAGCUCAUGGUCACGCACUCACCUUAACAAAUUGAUUCUAAUAGCAAUUAAACCCAGGAGAGACUCUCCUUGCGUCUGAAACAGUCCAGAAACGUCCUACAACAAGUCCACAACCAAAAGCAACCUUGAAGCAAACUGGACAAGAAAACACCAGAAACAAGCAGUCUCAAAGACGAAACCCUAAAAUACAAGCUAACCGUUAACUAUACAAUCGCUCCGGUGAAAUCCUAGCUGCAGACGUCACAAAGCUGCCCACGAUCGGAAAACAGACGAGACCACGAUCUCAGUUUCAAUCUCCGCUGGUCCUAAUUCGCGUCUGAGAAAACGUGUCUCACGAAACUGCGAAUAACUCAACCAAUUUUAAUCCAAAUCUAAUUCUGUAAACUGGAGAAAAACGAUAAAGGAUUUGGAAAUAACUUUACCAAAUUUCGUUACCUUUUACCACGAUUUGAUAUGACGAAACUGAUUUCUCCCAAACCCUAACGAUUCUGCUCAUUCUCUUUUUCUCUCUUUUUCUCCUUUAUAAAACGAAAAGUGGCUAACUAAAGCCCUAAUUUCGAGUUUCCUUCUUUUAAAGGCACACUCUAGGGUUUCCAAUUAACCCAACCAAUUAAACCGGAUGAUUUAAAAACAAACCCUAACCGAUUUUCCGGUUCACGGGCGUUACAAUUCUCCCCCACUAACAUAGAUUCGUCCUCGAAUCUAGCUUCACCCUUCCACUCCGAGGAACUCCGUGCAACCAUCACUAUAGUCCGCACUCCCUCCAACCAGACCCCCUCUAGGUCUCUCUAUCCAGUCGAUAUACUCACGAUUUACUAGUCAUUGUUGCUCACAACUCACUCUCCACUCUCAGACCGCAAUCUUCGAGCAUAAACCGUCACUUUCAGGCCUCGGCCUACGGUAUCUCGGGUAUCACACAUAUUAUCUUCCCCACUCAAAGUCAAACCCUGAGUUGUGUCGGCUCACUCUCAGCCACAAAGUCAUCGAGUUACGACACUUGGAGAAAAUAAUACCACAAAACUCGCUCUCGGGUCGUCACCCUAAAGCGUGCUCUCGGAUCGUCACCCGAAGCCACCGUACCCCUCGUACUCUAAAGACACCAUGUCCCUCGAGUUACCGGUACCUCAGGAGCAUACCCCGCUCCUCACGAGUCGUUGGAACCCUCAUGUCCCUCGAGCAACAAUACUAAACGCUUCCGAGCAUAUCUCCAGACUCUCUCAUGGAUUCGCGUAAGACACCUCUAUGCCUCACCAUCCAUCAUAUCCCCUCGAAAACAUCCUUAUGACCAACUCCCGGCCAUCUCGUAAACACACCUUUCUCUUACGUUGUUUACUCAAACUUUCCGAAAAUAGACAAGUCCUUUCUAGGAAACUUUCCAUUUUUGGAAACCGCACAACACAAUCUUAAAUAAGACAACUCAAGUCAAAUCCAAGAAAAAAUACUCAUCUUAUUAAUCAUCAACUGUCAUGAUCGUUACAACUCCAAACGAAAAUACAAAUGAAAGAGAAAUAAGAACAACAACUCAAAAACUCAAAAACUCAACAACACUGAAACUGGAAACCAAGGAAAGGCAAACUCAUGCAACAACCAGCUUCUCUAACCACUUCUUGAACCUUGCCUUCAUCCUCGCCUCUGGCUCCCAAGUCUCCUCUAUCACACCAUCGCAGUCCCACAAGACUUUGAUCAAAGGAAUCUUCUUCCGCCGAAGUUCCUUGAUCCUCCUCUCGAGAACCCUCACUGGUCUCGCCUCCAAAGUCAUGUUGGGCUGAAGAUCCUCUGGAAUCUUAGCCAACACCUCAUCAUCCUUGUGAAGACACUUCCUCAGCAUCGACACAUGAAAGACUUUGUGAAACGCACGCAUAACAUCAGGCAACUCUAACCUGUAUGCCACUGGUCCCACCCUCUCAACAAUCCUGAACGGACCCAUGUACCUCGGACUCAACUUAGUCUCUGAGAUAGACCUGUUCGGACCUCGCAACAUGGCCAUCUUAAGAUACACUCUGUCCCCAACCUCAAACUCAAGCUCUCUCCUCCUCUUGUCAGCAUAACUCCGCUGUCGAUCCUGAGCUUCCUUCAUGUUCAGCUUAAGAAUCCGGAUCCUCUCUCUGGUCUCCUGAACAUAAUCUGCACCAUAUAUGCUCCUCUCCCCCACUUGGGUCCAGCAUAACGGUGUCCUGCAUGGCCUCCCGUACAACGCUUCAAAAGGAGCCAUCCCAAUACUCGCCUGAUAGCUAUUGUUAUAAGCAAACUCUACCAGACUCAAGUGAUCCGCCCAAUGACCUUCCCAAUCCAAGGCACACAUCCGCAACAUAUCCUCAAGCGUCUGAAUAGUCCUCUCAGAUUGCCCAUCUGUCUGUGGAUGAUAAGUCGUGCUCAUCUGCACCUUAGUACCCAUCUCUGCCUGAAACGCUCUCCAAAAUGCAGAAGUAAACUUGGAAUCCCUGUCUGACACAAUACUCACAGGUACUCAAUGCAACUUCACGAUCUCGCUCACAUAUUUCUUAGCCGACACCGCCGCUCCAUCGGUUUUUCUGAUGGUCAGAAAAUGUGCUGACUUAGUCAGACGGUCCACGAUCACCCAAAUAGCAUCUUUGGUUCGCGACACAGGCAACCCAACCAUAAAAUCCAUCGUGAUAAAAUUCCACUUCCACUCAGGAAUGGGUAAACUCUGCAACAUGCCACCUGGCACCUGAUGCUCAGCCUUAACUAACUGGCAAACAUCGCACUCUGCAACCCAAUUAGCUACAUCCCUCUUCAUCCCGACCCACUGAUAGUACCGCUUGAGGUCUCGGUACAUUUUUGUCGCUCUUGGAUGAAUGGAAAAUAUGCUCGCAUGAGCCUCACUCAAGAUCUCCCGUCGCAACUACUCAUCCUUAGGCACACAAACUCGUCCAUACACAAGGAUAGUCCCAUUAGCUGCAAACUGAUACUCAGAGCCCUCUGCCUUAAAAGCCGCAAUCAACCCCUCAUCCUUCUCCUGAGCCAACCGAACUCUAGUCAGAAGAUCUGCUCGAUCCACAACUUCCAAUCCCAAUGGCUCUCGUGCAACAGCACACAACCGCAAAGCACCAAUCUCACUCACCAAGGCCUCAACACUCUGUCCUGGAGCCGCGCCCACGCGCUUACCGGUCAACGCGUCUGCAACCACAUUAGCCUUACCGGGAUGGUAAGCUAUCUCCAGAUCAUAAUCAGCCACCAACUCCAUCCAUCGCCUCUGCCUCAGGUUCAGCUCUGGCUGAGUGAAGAUAUACUUUAAACUCUUAUGAUCCGUGAACACCUGCACUUUUCUGCCAUAAAGAUAAGACCUCCAAAUCUUCAAGGCAAAGAUUACUGCAGCCAUCUCCAAAUCGUGAGUAGGAUAGUUGCCCUCAUGCUUCCUCAACUGUCGUGAUGCAUAAGCAAUAACCUUUUCACGCUGCAUUAGAACACAACCCAAACCAACUCUCGAGGCAUCAGUAUACACCAUGUAAGGCUGUCCAUGCUCUGGCAAUGCUAACACUGGUGUACUCGUCAACAUCUCCUUCAGGCUCACGAAACCCUCCUCGCACUCCAGUGACCACACAAAAGGAACAUCCUUCCCUGUCAGCUUAGUCAUCGGCUGUGCCAUACUCGCAAACCCCUUGACGAACAUCCUGUAAUACCCUGCCAACCCAAGAAAACUCCUGAUCUCAGUGGCAUUCGUCGGUUUAGGCCAAUCUCUGAUAGCCUCAAUCUUCUCUGGAUCCACUGAAACUCCCUCUGUAGAAACAAUGUGACCCAGAAAACCCAUUUCUCUCUGCUAGAAACUGCACUUACUCAACUUAGCGAACAACUUCUGCUCCCGCAGCUUCUCCAUCACUCUCCUCAGAUGUACCUCAUGCUCCUCAUGACUCUUAGAAUACACCAGAACGUCAUCAAUAAAGAUGAUAACAAACUCAUCCAAAAACUUCUGGAACACGCUGUUCAUCAACCUCAUGAACACUGCAGGUGCAUUAGUCAACCCGAAAGGCAUCACCACGAACUCAAAAUGUCCAUAUCUCGUCCUGAAAGCAGUCUUGCGAACAUCUGCCUCCGCUAUCGGGAUCUGAUGACAACCCGACGUCAAAUCGAUUUUGGAUAAACAAGUAGCACCCCUCAACUGAUCCAACAACUUAUCGAUCCUUGGCAAAGGGUAUCUGUUCCUCACAGUGACCCGGUUCAACUCUCGGUAGUCAAUACAUAAGCGAAACUCCCGUCCUUCUUUUUCACAAAUAACACCGGCGCUCCCCAAGGUGAAGUACUAGGACGAAUGAAUCUCUUACCCAACAAAUCCUCUAGCUGCUUCUUUAGCUCUGCCAUCUCUGCUGGAGCCAUCCUGUAGGGUGCCUUAGACAACGGCGCUGUCCCUGAUUCCAACUCAAUCGUGAAAGGAUCAGAACGUGAUGGUGGUAAUCCCUGCAACGAUUGAAACACAUCCUCGAACUCCUGAACAACCCGAAUGUCGCUCACUGCUACCUGCCCCACAGACUCCGGCAUAAAUAUCGUCACCAGGUAAGCCUCGCAGCCCUUCUCGAUCAUUUUCUCUGCCUGCACUACAGAGAUGACGAGACUCCCUGAGAUAGGUCUCACUCCCUGAUAAACCAACCUUCCCUCUGGCCGCUCAAAAGAAACUCUCCCACGGUGGCAGUCAAGAUGUACUCUGUAAUAAUCCAACCAAUCCAUUCCCAGAAUAACAUCAUACAACUCUACAGGGCUGAUAAUCAAAUCUGCUGGCAUUGACUCCCCUGCAAUCUGAAUAUCUACACCCUUCGCUCUCCCCAAAACCGCUAGAAACUGCCCUCCAGCAACCUUGACGUGGAGAUGUCCCCUCUCCCUACAGUGGUAGCACUCCCCCGUCUCAGCUCGCUGCGUGCAAUCCUGCACGACCACCCUGUCCAGCUCUGGAAGGAUGAUCUCACUUCCUCUUCUGCCCCUGUGCAGGUUUGCCGCCCUUGCUAGGUGUCACCUGCUGCUGAGUCUUCUUCGGUUCUACCGCUGGACUCACUCCCACCACCUGCCUCUGAAGGUCCUCUUCUACCUCAGCAGCCGUCUCCACCAGUGCCGCCUUCGUGGCGUACUGCGACACUCUACACCGCACUCUCAAAUCCGGUCGAAGUCCCUUCAAGAACCUCCUCAUCUGGGCCUGGUCAUCCUCCAUGCCCCGACCUGCAUACACCAAAAGUCGGUUAAACUCCCGGUCAUACUCCUGAACCGACCGUUUACCCUGUGUCAGCUCAAGAAAACGCGCUUCCAUACGGUCGAGCGCCUCCUGCGGAAAGUACUUGGCAUUAAACUCAGCCACGAAAUCUGCCCAAGACAUAUCCGUCUGCCUCCUCCUGGCAGUCACACUCCGCCACCAUAAAUGUGCAUCCCCCUCUAGAAAAAGCACUGCUAGAUCUACCCGAUACUCCGCCGGGCAUCUGCUCGAACUGAAGUUCCGCUCAACCCGCGACCUCCAACUGUCGGCCUCCUCACGACUAGUACCACCAGAAAAAUAACCGGUGCUAAUCCUCUGCAACUGCUCCAUCAUCCUCAAAUAAGAUGGAACCUCCUCAGCAAGCGCAGCCCGCUGCUGCACCUCCGCCACUCGUGGCGCAACUGGAGCCUCCACUGGUACCACACCUGGUAACCGCUCCAACAACUGCCUCAACAGGCCCGCCAAACCAACCUCUGGAACCUGAGCUCCUCCAGCUGCAGCACCCAUCACUCCUGGGCCCUCAGCACCAACGGCAUGCACACCGGUACCGACACCAGCUCCACCAGCCCCCACUCCGGCUACACCAGCUAUAUCGGCACUAAGACCGUUCCUAACCCCGGGCUCCACAAACUCAGGCUGCGAACCCACACUCUGCUCAACUGUGGCACUGUGGCCAUCACUCUCGCCGGUACCCUCGAGGACUCGUCCCCUACCGCGACCACGACCGCGACCACGAACUCCAGCUCCUCUAACCAUCUGCGCUACUCAAGAACAAAUGGUUAAGAAACUAAAACAAACGAAUAUAUCACAAACAACUUACCGUGGAAUCUCAUUUAAGGCUCGGAGAAGAUGAUGCUAGGACUCCAACAACACACAAUUGACUAAACACUCCAUAAUCAAUCCUCAAUAUGCUAACACCCUAGCUCAUCCCACAUCAAUCAACAGGAAAAUAAUUCAUCAAUUAAUUUUUCUACACAUCCUAGAACCGUAAUCGCUCUGAUACCAAAUUGAAACAACCCGACUCAUUUUUUUAUUAAAUAUAAUUAAAUAUUCUCAUAAAUAUCUAAUUAAACCAACCAAUAACAUAAUAAUUAAACCGCAAGUCAAAAAUACUAUUUUAUGAAUAAAUAAAUAAUUCGACCAACAAAACCAAGAAUAACUGACAAUCCUAACCGGGUUCCAAUAACCAAAAACACCAAAAAUAAAACAAACGAGUUCCUAGAUCAUCCUCUCUUCUUUCCAUGAUUCCAGGAUCACACUUUAUCUUUACCUGCAUCAACAACACAAUGAGAUGCGUAAAUAUUAUCAUAAAUACUUAGUGAGGCGAUCCUCCCAUCUACGAGCUAUACACACAAGCAAAUACAAAGGUAAAAUCACGAAUACAAUACAAACAAACCAGUCAUUGAACAAUUCACCCAAAACACAUUCACCACACCUACAUAUCAUCACACAAAACAAAUCACACAACCCAAUCGCUCAGAUAAGCUCAUGGUCACGCACUCACCUUAACAAAUUGAUUCUAAUAGCAAUUAAACCCAGGAGAGACUCUCCUUGCGUCUAAAACAGUCCAGAAACGUCGUACAACAAGUCCACAACCAAAAGCAACCUUGAAGCAAACUGGACAGGAAAACACCAGAAACAAGCAGUCUCAAAGACGAAACCCUAAAAUACAAGCUAAUUGUUAACUAUUCAAUCGCUCCAGUGAAAUCCUAACUGCAGACGUCACAAAGCGGCCCACAAAAUCUCGUGCCGAUCGGAAAACAGACGAGACCACGAUCUCAGUUUCAAUCUCCGCUGGUCUUAAUUCGCGUCUGAGAAAACGUGUCUCACGAAACUGCGAAUAACUCAACCAAUUUUAAUCCAAAUCUAAUUCUGUAAACUGGAGAAUAACGAUAAAGGAUUUGGAAAUAACUCUACCAAAUUUCGUUACCUUUUACCACGAUUUGAUAUGACGAAACUGAUUUCUCCCAAACCCUAACGAUUCUGCUCAUUCUCCUUUUCUCUCUUUUUCUCCUUUAUAAAACGAAAAGUGGCUAACUAAAGCCCUAAUUUCGAGUUUCCUUCUUUUAUAGGCAAACUCUAGGGUUUCUAAUUAACCCAACCAAUUAAACCGGAUAAUUUAAAAACAAACCCUAACCAAUUUUCUGGUUCACGGGCGUUACAGAAUCAUUGGAUAGAUCGAAUAUAUGUAGUGCGUUUUGGUGUUUAGAAAAAAGGAAAGACAAGGAGUUUUAAUUUUCUGUAGUUGCUUAGGCCCAACGAAACCUCUUAAUUUCCUUUUUUUUUUUUCUGGAAUUAAGGGAGAAGACUCAUCAAUUAGAGUAUACACACUGUGACUAAAUUAAUUUGAUAGUUUACUACUUUAU
rnacentral:sRNA from 1 species